rnacentral:rRNA from 1 species
AACGAACGCUGGCGGCAGGCUUAACACAUGCAAGUCGAACGGGUGUAGCAAUACAUCAGUGGCAGACGGGUGAGUAACACGUGGGAACCUUCCUAGAGGUACGGAACAACGCAGGGAAACUUGCGCUAAUACCGUAUACGCUCUUGCGAGGAAAGAUUUAUCGCCUUUAGACGGGCCCGCGUCGGAUUAGCUAGUUGGUAAGGUAACGGCUUACCAAGGCGACGAUCCGUAGCUGAUCUGAGAGGAUGAUCAGCCACACUGGGACUGAGACACGGCCCAGACUCCUACGGGAGGCAGCAGUGGGGAAUCUUGGACAAUGGGCGCAAGCCUGAUCCAGCCAUGCCGCGUGAGUGAAGAAGGCCUUCGGUUGUAAGCUCUUUGUUCAGGGACGGAUAAUGACGGUACCUGAAGAAUAAGCCCGGCAAACUUACGUGCCAGCAGCCGCUAAU